rnacentral:rRNA from 1 species
ACCCUGACCCAGCAACGCCGCGUGGAGGAAGAAGGUUUUCGGAUCGUAAACUCCUGUCCUUGGAGACGAGUAGAAGACGGUAUCCAAGGAGGAAGCCCCGGCUAACUACGUGCCAGCAGCCGCGGUAAUACGUAGGGGGCAAGCGUUGUCCGGAAUAAUUGGGCGUAAAGGGCGCGUAGGCGGCUCGGUAAGUCUGGAGUGAAAGUCCUGCUUUUAAGGUGGGAAUUGCUUUGGAUACUGUCGGGCUUGAGUGCAGGAGAGGUUAGUGGAAUUCCCAGUGUAGCGGUGAAAUGCGUAGAGAUUGGGAGGAACACCAGUGGCGAAGGCGACUAACUGGACUGUAACUGACGCUGAGGCGCGAAAGUGUGGGGAGCAAACAGGAUUAGAUACCCUGGUAGUCCACACUGUAAACGAUGAAUGCUAGGUGUAGGGGGUAUCGACCCCUUCUGUGCCGCAGUCAACACAAUAAGCAUUCCGCCUGGGGAGUACGGCCGCAAGGUUGAAACUCAAAGGAAUUGACGGGGGCCCGCACAAGCAGCGGAGCAUGUGGUUUAAUUCGAAGCAACGCGAAGAACCUUACCAGGUCUUGACAUCCACUUAAACUUACAGAGAUGUAAGGUGUGCUUGCACAAAGUGAGACAGGUGGUGCAUGGUUGUCGUCAGCUCGUGUCGUGAGAUGUUGGGUUAAGUCCCGCAACGAGCGCAACCCUUAUCUUCAGUUACUAACGCGUAGAGGUGAGGACUCUGAAGAGACUGCCGGGGACAACUCGGAGGAAGGUGGGGACGACGUCAAAUCAUCAUGCCCCUUAUGACCUGGGCUACACACGUGCUACAAUGGCCACGACAGAGAGAAGCGAAAUCGCAAGGUAGAGCGGAACUCAAAAAAGUGGUCCCAGUUCG